rnacentral:rRNA from 1 species
GGCCUCAAAUCAGGUAGGACUACCCGCUGAACUUAAGCAUA